GUAGGUGAACCUGCGGAAGGAUCAUUACUAAGCGAGUCCUUAGGGAUAUCGCAACCCGUGCUUACCUACCUUUGUUGCUUUGGCGGGGCGCCGUCCCGGCCAGCGGCUUUCAGCUGCUGCGCCCCCGCCAGAGGACCACAACCCGUGUUAUGCUAGUGUCGUCUGAGUACUAUGUAAUAGUUAAAACUUUCAACAACGGAUCUCUUGGUUCUG
rnacentral:misc_RNA from 1 species